rnacentral:rRNA from 1 species
CGCGGUAAUACGGAGGGUGCGAACGUUGUUCGGAAUUAUUGGGCGUAAAGCGCACGUAGGCGGCCCGUUAAGUCUCAUGGUGAAAGCCCUGGGCUCAACCUGGGAAUUGCAUUCGAUACUGUUCGGCUAGAGUACGGUAGAGGGAGGUAGAAUUCCUAGUGUAGCGGUGAAAUGCGUAGAUAUUAGGAGGAAUACCGGUGGCGAAGGCGGCCUCCUGGACUGAUACUGACACUGAGGUGCGAAAGCGUGGGGAGCAA